rnacentral:rRNA from 1 species
GCUUAACCCCGGAUCUGCGGUGGGUACGGGCAGACUAGAGUGCAGUAGGGGAGACUGGAAUUCCUGGUGUAGCGGUGAAAUGCGCAGAUAUCAGGAGGAACACCGAUGGCGAAGGCAGGUCUCUGGGCUGUAACUGACGCUGAGGAGCGAAAGCAUGGGGAGCGAACAGGAUUAGAUACCCUGGUAGUCCAUGCCGUAAACGUUGGGCACUAGGUGUGGGGGACAUUCCACGUUUUCCGCGCCGUAGCUAACGCAUUAAGUGCCCCGCCUGGGGAGUACGGCCGCAAGGCUAAAACUCAAAGGAAUUGACGGGGGCCCGCACAAGCGGCGGAGCAUGCGGAUUAAUUCGAUGCAACGCGAAGAACCUUACCAAGGCUUGACAUGUUCCUGACCGCCGUAGAGAUACGGUUUCCCCUUUGGGGCAGGUUCACAGGUGGUGCAUGGUUGUCGUCAGCUCGUGUCGUGAGAUGUUGGGUUAAGUCCCGCAACGAGCGCAACCCUCGUUCCAUGUUGCCAGCACGUAGUGGUGGGGACUCAUGGGAGACUGCCGGGGUCAACUCGGAGGAAGGUGGGGACGACGUCAAAUCAUCAUGCCCCUUAUGUCUUGGGCUUCACGCAUGCUACAAUGGCCGGUACAAUGGGUUGCGAUACUGUGAGGUGGAGCUAAUCCCAAAAAGCCGGUCUCAGUUCGGAUUGGGGUCUGCAACUCGACCCCAUGAAGUCGGAGUCGCUAGUAAUCGCAGAUCAGCAACGCUGCGGUGAAUACGUUCCCGGUGCCUUGUACACACCGCCC